UACAGAGGUCUCAAGCGUUGUUCGGAUUCAUUGGGCGUAAAGGGUGCGUAGGCGGCGCGGUAAGUCGGGUGUGAAAUUUCGGAGCUUAACUCCGAAACUGCAUUUGAUACUGCGGUGCUUGAGGACUGGAGAGGAGACUGGAAUUCACGGUGUAGCAGUGAAAUGCGUAGAGAUCGUGAGGAAGACCAGUGGCGAAGGCGGGUCUCUGGACAGUUCCUGACACUGAGGCACGAAGGCCAGGGGAGCAAACGGG
rnacentral:rRNA from 1 species